AUGCUCGCUUUAGCAGCACGUAUACUAAAAAUGGAACAAUGCAGAGGUUAGCAUGGCAAGGAGGACACACAACUUCUUGAAACAUUUCAUCUUUAA
rnacentral:snRNA from 1 species